CCCUUAGAUGUUCUGGGCCGCACGCGCGCUACACUGACGAAGUCAGCGAGCAUCUCCUACGCCGAAAGGUGCGGGGAAUCUUGUGAAACUUUGUCGUGCUGGGGGUUGAUUUUUGAAAUUCUUGAUCAUAAACGAGGAAUUCCUAGUAAGCGCAAGUCAGCAGCUUGCGUUGAUUACGUCCCUGCCCUUUGUACACACCGCCCGUCGCUACUACCGAUUGAAUGGUUUAGUGAGAUGUUUGGACCGGAACUCUCUUGCUCAGCAAUGGGCGAGAGAGAGUCUGGGAAGUCCCUCUAACUGUAUCAUUUAGAGGAAGUAAAAGUCGUAACA
rnacentral:rRNA from 1 species